AGGACGAACGCUGGCGGCGUGCUUCAUACAUGCAAGUCGAACGAGAAGCUACUUCGGUAAGUGGAAAGUGGCGGACGGGUGAGUAAUAUGUAGAGAAUCUGCCCUAAAGAGGGGGGACAACAGAGGGAAACUUCUGCUAAUACCCCAUAUGCGCGUAGUUGAGAUACUAUUCGUGAAAGAUUUAUCGCUUUAGGAUGAGUCUGCAUCUGAUUAGCUAGUUGGCGGUGUAAUGGACCACCAAGGCGACGAUCAGUAGCUGGUUUGAGAGGAUGAUCAGCCACAAUGGGACUGAGACACGGCCCAUACUCCUACGGGAGGCAGCAGUAGGGAAUUUUGCGCAAUGGGCGAAAGCCUGACGCAGCCAACGCCGCGUGAUCGUAGAAGCCCUUCGGGGUGUAAAGAUCUGUCAGUAGGGACGAACAAUGACUGUACCUACAGAGGAAGCACCGGCUAACUCCGUGCCAGCCGCAGC
rnacentral:rRNA from 1 species